UGACCGAGCGCCCACCCGUUAUUUUCCAAACGGUUUUUGCCCGUUAGCCGGGGCGAUGUGCCCGCCCGUCGGGUUGGGAGCUAGGGAGGGAGCUAGCUAAAUAACCCGCGCUUACAAUACUGAAAACAGGAGUUGUGAUGGGGAAAGUGAAAGCGCCAGUCCUUUCUUGGGAGGAGCAAAGACUUCCCAGAAGGGCACCCCUUUCACGCAGCAGUGGGCAAGGGGGGAGGGCGGGCAUGGUGCAGGAGUUUUGAGGGGUCAUGAUGAAAAGUUUCCUUCUGAAGAUGCAGGGUGCCGCUCAGAACGGGGGUUAUAAGUUUUGAGGGGGUGAAGAAGGUGGGAUUUAGUUCUGAGUAGGACGAGAGGCCACUGAGGCAAGGGCCGGUACCUUUGUGUUCCUUUGCUGAUGUCUUCCAAGUACUUGGAACAGUGCCUCCCGGACUCCACCCGAAGACGGAUCUGGUUCCAGCUGAACAUGCAAAGCUGCACGGUUGAUUCAGAAGCUUCCAGACACAAAGGCUGAGGAGAGCGUCUCUACCUGUGUGCCAUAUGCUUGCGAGGACUUCCAAGAGGGAAAAACAGAUAAGCAGAGAGGGAAAGUCUCCCGCUGGAAAGCAGAGCGUGAAGAGGUACUGGAUCAGGCAUCAGACAAAGAUGUCAUUGAACUUCCAUGACAAGGACUUUAUCAGCUACUGUUAACAAUUAACACAACAGUAAAUCCCUGCCUCCCAAGUGUGAAGACAGAAGCCCUGCUUGAAGGAGAUCUCCCCCGGAGGAGUCACCACGCAGCAAAGCUGAUGACUGUGGGCAGAGACCCCUUCCACCCGAGACCUCAGAGGUGGGCUGGUGACUUCUGGAAGUGCACAAUCCCCAGGAACCACUGGACAAAGCCACCAGAGCCACAGAGUAUCCUGCUUUAACCUGCAUGGGCUUUUGCUCUUUGCCUUUAUGCUUUCCCCUUUGCCGCGUUAAGAUUUAAAUUGCUGACACUUCUCCAUUAACUAUGACGCUUCAAGGUCUUAAUACUCUUUUUUGUGGUCCUAGUCACUCCUGGGUCUAAGUCCAACCCCAUGCUGCAGUGUGCUUAAGAUGUGGCCAAGGUGUGCAAUUAUUAUACUGUCUGUCUAGUUGGUUCUUACUUUUCUUUGGUGCCACCCAACUUUCUUAGCUACCAGUUUCUUGGAAUUAAUCAAGGACUUAUCCAAGAGAUGAUUUUGGUAUAACACAUACUGAAGUAGGCCAAAUAGCCAGAAUUCUUUUUGUUUUUUUAAAGGUGCUUCAGAGUUCAUGUGAAAUGUAUUUUCUAUCUGAAUUAGUUACACAAAACAAAACAGACAUAAAAAAAAAAAGUAAAAUUUCAGAGCAGCCUUGAAAGAAGCUUUCUUCAAACUUCUGAGACUUUCAAUCUUCUACUUUGGUGACUGUCAGCCGUCAAGUGACUGAGAAAUCACUGUGAGUCCUUUUCUGACUGGAAGAAGGCAAAUUCAGGUCCUCUGCACCCGCGUGUCUGCCAUCAUGUUUUCCAGGUUCUCUUCUGACAUCCUCAGGUGAAGACAUGCUGUCCCCCAGCCCGAAUUAGACAUGGGGAAACUGCUGCUGCAGAUACUGAGCCUUCGUGUCCUGCUGUCGACAAGCAGAGGGCUUACUCAGUAUCCUGGGUGCCAGCAUUCAAUUGUUGUUCACCUGGCCAGUCCCGCCCGGCCAGCCCCAACCGCCUCUCCAGUUGGGUUCACACCAUCGCCCGUCACUCAAUAGCCAGAAUUCUAAAGUCCCCUAUCAAAUCAUACAUAGACAGGAAGGUUUCAAACAAAGCAAUCUUCUGAAACCUUUUGUGAAAUUGGGCUUUUCCAACCAAAUGUUCACAAAAGGCAAGGCAGUGAUGAGGGUGAAAGGUGUGAUGAUGAGGUGCUUUGAGAAAAUUAGACCCACUCGGAGCACAGGGACAGUAACAAUCCAGUGAUGAAAGAUGGACCUCCACAGGGGACUCCCACAAAGAGGCAAAAAAGCUCACUAAGCUUCUGGGGAGUCCACGGAGACGGAAGUCAGUGGAUGGCCUGGAAGUGGGCCCCUGUAGAACACAGCGGCAAGGUAGGAACCAGAGGUAAAAGGCUCGGAGAGGGGGGCCAGCUAGGCUCUUCUGAGAGUCUGGCGAGAGGUUGAAGGCAGAGACUGAGGUGACCCACUCAGAGGCUUUUUGGGAUCUGUGGGACUGCAAGGCAGCCUAAUCCACAGCUGCCCAGACAACAGAAUGCCAACUUCCAGGGCCACAGUGUUACACAGAUCACAAACAUAGCUCUUGACAGACGUCCCCCAGCUACCUGUAACAGGGAGCUUGUCCAGUGGCUUCAAAAGUCAGGAGGAAGCAGCUGAAAUCCGCAGAGCUGGGACGGGGAGAGGGCUUGUCGGAACGGGAACCACACUGCAUCCUUCAGCUUCCCAGACCUCACGUUGCUUCUCUAUCUCCAACACAAGGCUGGCUUCCCCAUUCCUUUCCCUGGGGACACCCCCUCCAAGCAUCCACCCCAGGCUGCACUGGGCCCUGAGCCUGCUUAGUCAUCCUGGGAAAUGGGGAUACAGGAGAGAGGGAAAAGGUUAUUAAUGACCUGUUCGUUAGGAAGGAUUGUCCCCUGCUACCUCAGGGUCUUCCAGUCAACCUUUCCAGUGUGAGAAACCAAAGGCCUGUGCUUCUUUGUGCUGAAAAACAAAGCGAUAAUGUUAAUGUUAAGAGACUGACUAGAAUGAUCUUUAGGAGAGUCUAGACUCUAUAAAUGCAGCACUGUGCAAGUUGAAGUGGCCCUGACGGUCAUAGUGAAGGCUUUUCACAGACAUUGUCUCAGGUAAUCCUCACAACAACCCUGUGGGGUAUGGAAGACACAUACUACUUCGCAGGAGGAACCUGCACCUUGAGGAAGUCGGGCCCUUGUCCAAAAUCAGGACCUGGAAGCUCUGCCUCCAAACCAAAUAGUGGUUCCGAUACCACCCACAUGGCGCAUCUUCAGAAGGCAAGCCUCCUGGGCCAACCCCACCAUUCUUCACACAGAUGCAUAGACUGAAUAGAGGUGUUCUGUAGGCCUAGGCAUCCCUCUGGAAGUUCUGUUUCUGAAGGAGAUCACAUCUAGCAUCUGAUUUCCUCCGAUUGUAGACCUGGGCCCUUGUGGAAAGGCGAGAUCUACAUCCUCUUUCACUCUGCCCUGAUCUUGAGACACAGAGUAGCUGGAGCUCAAGUCUCACUCUCCUCUCUAGACAAGCUGAAGACGUUAUUCAUGCUGAAUCUGAUUUUGUAUAUUGAAUGAAUAGAGCUUUGUGAUCCAGCCUUGUUUUAUACUUUAAAGUGGAUAAAAUAUUUUCUAUUUUUCCUUCUUUGAAAUUUUCAAAAAAGGUUUUCUAUCUGUCAUACUCAGUUGAGUUUUUUCAGUUCCUGCCCUCUUCUGAUGAAGGGCACAGAUGCCCAGAAGUGCAGGAACUGUGUACUGUGUCACAGGGAACUCUGUCCCAAUGGCAGAGCUUGGGCUCCAGCACCUGCUUUGAGGCUUUCAAAGGCUCAGAGCAAUGUUCUCCCUGUCAGCCCUAACACAGUGGAAAGCCUUGGCCCAGAGACACCCAAGAUGGAACCAUGACUGGGAAGAGGUGAGGGACUCUGUUCUUCUACAGGUACCCUGAACUCUGUUCAUCCAAUCCAUGGCUAUUGAAUCACUGUGAUGAGGGUUUUUAUCCCAGAGCUGUAUACCACAUCUAGAAAGGUCUAUGAGCCUUGGAAUAUCAACCCCAGCUCCCAUACCCAUCCAUUUCCCAUUCCCCAUUCAUGAUACUCUAAUCUUUCUUGAGACUUUUGAUCCCAAGGUGGUCCUUAUGGCAACACAAUUGAUUUUAGAAAAGCAGGAAGAAGGGUUCCCUUACCAGAUGUGUCUGUUUUUCCUGGUUAUUGACUAUAUUUUGAUUCCUCUGUAAAUAAGAGGAACAACAAAAAGAGCCCCCACGCUACGUAGGAAAUAUAGAAUAGAUGGAACUAUGUCCCGAGACUCAUUGAGAUGCAUCUGAAUGGAGUUCAUACAAUAUCCCUGCUCCCUCCAUCCAGCCUAGCAAUCCUGCCACCCUCCUGGGCCUUCUAGACCCUACUAUCCUUCCUGGUUCUUACCAUUUUCCAACUUUACACUUUCAUCAAAUCACAAGUAGAUGGCACUGCUGUUUUCUCUUUAUUUUACCUACAACCUAGUUAUUGGCUGGGUAGUUCUUUACCCCCUGGGUCAUCUCAGUCUUGACCUUACCACUCAUAUAAUAUAGCCUCUGAAAGUGUGGAGUUCUCCCAGGAAUUUAUGCUAAAUCCCAGGGAUUUGCAUUCUCAAGAUUCCUGUGUUUUUAACUCUAGCUCCUCACUUUGCAACAACCCAAAGGAUACAACCCUACUUUCAUACCCAGAGUGCAUUUUCACAUACAAUCAUUAGAGAAUGAUAUCUUCUUUACAAAACAUACUGUAAAAGUGAUAAACAGGGCCAGGGACAGAGCACCCCCUGGCAAACAACUUUCAAAUCCCUAUCUACUGAAUUAUACAUGGUGUUAUUUUCUAAACUGAAACAGCCUCAGGCCAGGGUACCCAACGCUUUGAUGAGGCUUUCCCAGAGCUAGCAAUAAAACCAUGUUUCUGCUUUUGUUCCUCCCUCUCUAUCUUGGCAAGAUCUUACCCUCUGAUCCUCUGGGAAGCUACCUCUGACACAGCUGGGCCCCCGGGGUACAGGCCUGAUUGUCCCCUGGUGUACUCCCAUUGCACCUUGUACUCCCACCGACCCAGUGCUGGCUACCUCUCUGUCUUUCCUAUUAAACUGUAAGCUUUGAAAAGGAAGUACCUGUUUUGUUCAAUACUACACCUCAAGUUCCUAGCUCGGUACCUAGUUUAAUGUGUGUGGACGUCUGGAUGGAUGGGUGGAUGUAUGCUUAUGUGUAUGUGCCGGUGAGUGAAUAAAUGUGUUACAUUUAAGGUGCUUGUUGGGCAUCCAGAUGAAACAAACCAACAGAUAGUUUUUGGAUAUGGAGUUCAGAAAAAAGUUCUGGACUAGAGCGAAGCCAAGUUCAAACAAAUGAGACUUCCCCUUGGGAAUCAUACGUUUUAUAAUGUACUUGUGUUGUCAGUAGUAGCAUGGCAGCCUCUGGCUUCAAGUCUGUUUAUACUCGAGGAUAAUCCCUACCACCACAUCUUGGUCCUGAAGUCAUUACUCCCAGCUACUUUAUCACAAUUCCCUGUGGGUAAUUGUCAGCUUUAAGGCCCAAAGAAGGCACAGAGAUGACCAGUAAACGCAGAAAAGAAUUUUAUUUUAGGACAUCAUAGGGUGAUGUGAAGUAGGGGCCCUUUCAAGCUACUGGCCAGGAGAGGGGGUUGUAUUUAACUGUACAAAGAAUUUGGAAACCUGUAUCAGUAACUUUUGACCUUGAUAAUGGACAUGCAACUGCUGAUUGUUAGUGUGUUCUGGUGGUAUGGAAUAUCCAAGUAGGGUGCUUAUAAAGUUUAUUGCUGGGGCAGUAAAAUCCCAUCAGAUCUGGGGGUUAGCUAUUUGUGCCCAGUGACCUGACAGAUACUGACAAAGGCAGCAUCUGAAUACAUACAUACAGAGAGAAAACUUCUGAUGUUAUGUAGAAAGCGUCCUAGGG